GGGGAUGACGUCAAAUCAUCAUGCCCCUUACUGACCUGGGCUACACACGUGCUACAAUGGUUGGUACAACGAGUUGCGAGUCGGUGACGGCGAGCUAAUCUCUUAAAGCCAAUCUCAGUUCGGAUUGUAGGCUGCAACUCGCCUACAUGAAGUCGGAAUCGCUAGUAAUCGCGGAUCAGCACGCCGCGGUGAAUACGUUCCCGGGCCUU
rnacentral:rRNA from 1 species